rnacentral:misc_RNA from 1 species
UACGGAGGGAGCUAGCGUUGUUCGGAAUUACUGGGCGUAAAGCGCGCGUAGGCGGCUUUGGAAGUUAGGGGUGAAAGCCCGGAGCUCAACUCCGGAAUUGCCUUUAAGACUGCAUCGCUUGAAUCCAGGAGAGGUGAGUGGAAUUGCGAGUGUAGAGGUGAAAUUCGUAGAUAUUCGGAAGAACACCAGUGGCGAAGGCGGCUCACUGGACUGGUAUUGACGCUGAGGUGCGAAAGCGUGGGGAGACAACAGG